AAGUCGUAACAAGGUAACCGUAGGUGAACCUGCGGUUGGAUCAUUAUUGAAAUUAUAAUCCAAUCUUUUUUUCUCAUAACUUCUGUUAAAAGAAGGCUAUGAGAUUGAAGGAAACAUCAUCCGCCCCUUUGUGAACCCGGCACCGAGGCGAGCGUGAGCUUCAAGGGGCCCACGCGUACACCAAAUCGUCUCCCUGCCCAAACCAAACCUGUCUUUUAUUGCCUGUCUCCCCAGACUGAAGCAAAAAAAAAACAAAAACAUAUCUUACAACUUUUAACAAUGGAUAUCUUGGCUCGC
rnacentral:misc_RNA from 1 species